GUGUUGAGGGGGGUGUUACUGUACACAGGUCUAAUUUAGUGCAUCAAAUGCAAAAGUGACCUUUCACAACCACCAGGACUUUUAAACUCAUCUAGAGGCUUAAAGGAAAGUCUGAACUUGAUUUUAUAACUUUAAAUAUUUUUAUUUGGCCAACAAAUGAGUGACGUUAAACUUUAUUAUAUUAUUCAUCUUCUGUAACAGCGUCUUCCUGUGUAGAGCCCAUCACUGGUGGCGGACGCCCUAGACAGGACGCCAGGGACACAGAAAAUAACCAUCAACAACCAGUAACAAACACACCAGUACCCAGCAAGAAUGUAGUUAAUCUGUGGGUCUGUGGGAGGAAGUCAGAAGACCCGGUGCAAACCCUCUCAUGCAAGCGGAGGAGAUGCAGAACGGUUUCAUCUCAGCGCUAAACCUGUGAUCUUCUUGCUGCAAAGCAAUCGGGCUUCAGUCUGAGCCACCAUGUUUGUUUAAAAAACAGAGAUCGUCUCCGAGCCUCAAACUAACAGUUCUGUGUUCGUGGGGCUCUAAAUGAUGGCGAAGGACAACCGAGACAACUUGGCACCCACCGGGAACUCCUUAAAGGUGCUAAACCAACCUGAUUACACAAAGAGCUUCAGUGAUUUCACAACUCUUUUCACUGCCACGGCUACACAACGUCUCACCCAGUCAGCGACCGGAGAGCCACAGACGACUGCAGCUCUCCCACGUUGUUUGUGAUGGAACCUGGCAUCGCUCCCGUCUGGUUAUUCCACGACUCUUACUCAGAUCCCAAUGAUCAGCAGCGUAGCUGUUCAACCAGCUGAGCUUCACCAGAGGUCGAAGGUCAAAGCUGCCCUCACACCAGCUCACAUUUGUCUGUGCUAUUGUUCCUCUCAUGCAGAUUUUUUAGACAAAUUCCAAUUUCUUUUUUAUUUCUGCUAAAUAAAGCGGUUUGAGUGUUUCUCAGGGGAGACGCUCAGAGCCGCUCUGUUGUGUCCCCGGGGACCCGCCGUGGCCCACAGCUACAGCUAAUUACAUCAACACACAACUUUCAGGAUCAAAUUAGAAAAUGUCCUGCCUUUGACGGUCUCCAGCACUGUAAGCAAACAAUCCUAUAAUGGGUUUGGUGAAUGUGACACCAAAGGUGUCUCCUUUUACCCGUCAUGGCUGGAAACAGAAGACAACAUCCGUUCGGUCGCCAGAGAGAGUAAACACACUUCAGGGAAUAUAAAAGGAAACUUUUUAAGUUAUUCGUUGUUAUUUCCUGAAACUAAGAGGAAGUUAUUUUGUUCUAAGCCUUAAAAAUAAGUUUUAAUGUUAAAAUAUAACUAGGCCAAAAUUUAAAGGUAGUUUUAUCUGGAAACUCUCUGGAGCUUCACCUUCGUGUGUCUUGUUUCUUAAUUAAAGACGAUUUAAUUCCCUUACAAAAGCCUGGAUUUGACUUCAACACAAUGGUUGAGCAGAACCAGGGAAGCUGAUGAUGCUGGAAGCAGUCAACAGUCUGUAAUUAUCCUCUCCCACCCGAAGCUACGGAGGUGGUUCUCUAGCCAGCUUAAUGCCCGGGUUUCGCUCGCAAAUUAAGACAAUUAGCGGCCUCAUUAAUUUGGGGAAAGGGAAGUAAUAUUCUCCUUACAGAAGCGCUUCAUUAAGUUAAUAUUAUCUGUGGCAGAGGCCUAAUUGUUGAACUCAGAAAGAGAACAGGAAGUGAAGGGUAAAAGUUCAGAAAUCCUGUCAGGGCUCGAGCAACUGAGAAGUGAAAUGUGGUGAUAUCUGAAACCGGACCUCCGUGGUCCCAUGGAGCAGCAGCUUCACGGCGCCACGUGCCUCUUCAAUAUGUUUUCUGCAAAAACAGAUAAAAGCCAUUUUUGAUGGUAAGUGGAUUUCUGGAGUCCUGCACCCCCCAAAGCGCUUUACAACACACCAGUCACAAUGGGGAUGAGCUACAUGGUAGCCACAGCUGCUCUGGGCCACCCUAGCCCCUCAACAUCACCAGACUUUACUGAGCCUGAAUAAAAAAAAAAAAUGCAGUUUUUUUUAAAUUUAUAAAAAAACAACAAUAUUUGUUUCUGCAAACGAACUCUUCAGGAAAAAACCCGCCUCUUAUUUAAUCUUUUCAUUAUCUUUCAUUUAAGCACAUUUCAGACAAAGAUGAAUGGAGAAUGAGUCAUUUCUGUGAUUUUUACAUUUUGGAAGUUGGUGUGUAAUCUCAGCAGGAUUUUUGAAAACCAGUCGAAAGUCGUCUCUGUGUCAGAUUCACUUUUAUUAAUAGAGCACUUUAAAUGUACAACAGUGUCGGCCAGAGCUCAGAACAGUUAAAACAACAAAAAUAA